rnacentral:rRNA from 1 species
AUUGAACGCUGGCGGCAGGCCUAACACAUGCAAGUCGAGCGGAUGAAGGGAGCUUGCUCCUGGAAUCAGCGGCGGACGGGUGAGUAAUGCCUAGGAAUCUGCCUGGUAGGGGGGGAUAACGUCCGGAAACGGGCGCUAAUACCGCAUACGUCCUGAGGGAGAAAGUGGGGGAUCUUCGGACCUCACGCUAUCAGAUGAGCCUAGGUCGGAUUAGCUAGUUGGUGGGGUAAAGGCCUACCAAGGCGACGAUCCGUAACUGGUCUGAGAGGAUGAUCAGUCACACUGGAACUGAGACACGGUCCAGACUCCUACGGGAGGCAGCAGUGGGGAAUAUUGGACAAUGGGCGAAAGCCUGAUCCAGCCAUGCCGCGUGUGUGAAGAAGGUCUUCGGAUUGUAAAGCACUUUAAGUUGGGAGGAAGGGCAGUAAGUUAAUACCUUGCUGUUUUGACGUUACCAACAGAAUAAGCACCGGCUAACUUCGUG